rnacentral:rRNA from 1 species
CCUACGGGUGGCAGCAGUCGAGAAUUUUUCUCAAUGGGCGCAAGCCUGAAGGAGCGACGCCGCGUGGGGGAUGAAGGGUUUCGAUCCGUAAACCCCUGUCAUUCGUGAACAAUGCUCACGAUUUAAAAGAUGGUGAGUUGAUAGUAACGGAAGAGGAAGGGACGGCUAACUCUGUGCCAGCAGCCGCGGUAAUACAGAGGUCCCGAGCGUUGUUCGGAUUCACUGGGCGUAAAGGGUGCGUAGGUGGCAUGGUAAGUUUGAUGUGAAAGCUCAGGGCUUAACCCUGAAAUGGCAUUGAAUACUAUUGUGCUGGAGGUUUGGAGGGGGGACUGGAAUUCUUGGUGUAGCAGUGAAAUGCGUAGAUAUCAAGAGGAACACCAGUGGCGAAGGCGAGUCCCUGGACAACACCUGACACUGAGGCACGAAAGCUAGGGGAGCAA